UGGUUAAACCUGGGCUGCAGGGGGGGUAAUAGUGAGGGUGCGAGCGUUAAUCGGAAUGACGGUGCGUAAAGCGUGGGCAGGGGGGUAUGUAAGACAGAAGGGAAAUCCCCGGGCUCAACCUGGGAACUGGCUUUGUGACUGCAUGGCUAGAGUGCGGCAGAGGGGGAUGGAAGUCCGCGUGUAGCAGUGAAAUGCGGAGAUAUGCGGAGGAACACCGAUGGCGAAGGCAAUCCCCUGGGCCUGCACUGACGCUCAUGCACGAAAGCGUGGGGAGCAAACAGGAUUAGAACCCGUGUAGUC
rnacentral:rRNA from 1 species